rnacentral:misc_RNA from 1 species
AACCAUAGAAACCUGCGGAGUACCUGCGGAGGGAUCAUUACCGAGUUUACAACUCCCAAACCCAAUGUGAACGUUACCAAACUGUUGCCUCGGCGGGAUCUCUGCCCCGGGUGCGUCGCAGCCCCGGACCAAGGCGCCCGCCGGAGGACCAACCAAAACUCUUUUGUAUACCCCCUCGCGGGUUUUUUUAUAUCUGAGCCAUCUCGGCGCCUCUCGUAGGCGUUUCGAAAAUGAAUCAAA